UACGGGAGGCAGCAGUGGGGAAUAUUGCACAAUGGGCGCAAGCCUGAUGCAGCCAUGCCGCGUGUAUGAAAAAGGCCUUCGGGUUGUAAAGUACUUUCAGUCGUGAGGAAGGUGUUAAGGUUAAUAACCUUAGCAAUUGACGUUAGCGACAGAAGAAGCACCGGCUAACUCCGUGCCAGCAGCCGCGGUAAUACGGAGGGUGCGAGCGUUAAUCGGAAUUACUGGGCGUAAAGGGCACGCAGGCGGUUAAUUAAGUUGGAUGUGAAAUCCCCGGGCUUAACCUGGGAAUGGCAUUCAAGACUGGUUAGCUAGAGUCUUGUAGAGGGGGUAGAAUUCCAUGUGUAGCGGUGAAAUGCGUAGAGAUGUGGAGGAAUACCGGUGGCGAAGGCGGCCCCUGGACAAAGACUGACGCUCAUGUGCGAAAGCUGGGGAGCAAACAGGGGUUAGAUACC
rnacentral:rRNA from 1 species